rnacentral:rRNA from 1 species
AUUGAACGCUGGCGGCAGGCCUAACACAUGCAAGUCGAGCGGAUGAAGGGAGCUUGCUCCUGGAUUCAGCGGCGGACGGGUGAGUAAUGCCUAGGAAUCUGCCUUGUAGUGGGGGAUAACGUCCGGAAACGGGCGCUAAUACCGCAUACGUCCUGAUGGAGAAAGUGGGGGAUCUUCGGACCUCACGCUAUCUGAUGAGCCUAGGUCGGAUUAGCUAGUUGGUGGGGUAAAGGCCUACCAAGGCGACGAUCCGUAACUGGUCUGAGAGGAUGAUCAGUCACACUGGAACUGAGACACGGUCCAGACUCCUACGGGAGGCAGCAGUGGGGAAUAUUGGACAAAGGGCGAAAGCCUGAUCCAGCCAUGCCGCGUGUGUGAAGAAGGUCUUCGGAUUGUAAAGCACUUUAAGUUGGGAGGAAGGGCAGUAAGUUAAUACCUUGCUGUUUUGACGGUACCAACAGAAUAAGCACCGGCUAACUUCGUG